rnacentral:rRNA from 1 species
UACGUAGGGUGCAAGCGUUAAUCGGAAUUACUGGGCGUAAAGCGUGCGCAGGCGGUCCGUUAAGACAGAUGUGAAAGCCCCGGGCUCAACCUGGGAAUGGCAGUGGAAACUAGGGGACUGGAAUCUGGCAGAGGGGGGUGGAAUGCCGCGUGUAGCAGUGAAAUGCGUAGAGAUGCGGCGGAACACCGAUGGCGAAGGCAGCCCCCUGGGCUGAGAUUGACGCUCAGGCACGAAAGCGUGGGGAGCAAACAGG